rnacentral:tmRNA from 1 species
GGGGGCGUCACGGUUUCGACGGGAUCGAUUGCGGCCUAGGAGGCAUGUCAGGGUGUGGGCACCUGUAAUCGCCUGCAAAAACAAAGUUGCCAACGAUAAUCUGGCACUUGCAGCUUAAUUAAAUAAGCUGCCGU